CAUUUGGCCUUUUCUUUUUACGUUUCUUGAUUUUUUAAAUGUGUGCACACAUGUUUAAUACUUCUCUUAGCUGCUUUGGGAUUGUGUAAAAUGAAAAGCAGGGUACGCAUUUUUAGAAUAUUGAGUGACAACAGUGCUUGCUUCUUAAUUUCUCUUACAUGGCCACACACACACACACACACACCCCUUGUAGUCCCAGAUAGGGAGGUCCAUGACUUGCAUUUCAUCACAAAUGAAUGUGACAUCAUUAGUCUUUGUUAACACUGCAGUUUGCUUAUUAAAUGGUCAAAGAUGCCAGAGCAAACCACAAGCUCUGAAAGGGUCAUCAAGGACAGGUGGUGCUCUCGCUGCUAAGAGCACAUAAGGACACAAGGACAAGCACCUGGUCAGAUUCGAAUGUAGCGGGAGAAAUGGCCAGAUUCCAACGCAGCAGGAGCCAGAGACAAACCCUUCUCCAUCGCAGGCGUCGCCGAAGGGCCAGUCAAGGAGGCAGAUCUGGAAGGAGGUGGAGAAGAAGACACCAAGGCAGAGGGAGGAGAGGUCAAAGAUCACGUGGUCACAGCAGGGGGAGAAGGAGAAGGAGAGAUAGUGAACGCGACUAAGCCCUUUCAUCUUCAUGGUGUCCAGUGACCUUGGUUUUAAGUCACUCAUCUCACUAAAGACUCCACAAAACAAAAAACUGAAACAAAACCACUCCUGUUUGAAGACUCAGGAAGAAUUACCAAAGAACCAUGGAGGCUGAAACCAUUUGAAUCUUGUCAAUAAAUGCUGACAUAGCA